GCAGCAAUGUCUGAGUGAUUAAGGAGAUUGACUUGAAAUCUAUUUGGCUCUACCCGCAUAGGUUCGAAUCCUUUUCGCUGCG